rnacentral:lncRNA from 1 species
UUUUGACCUUAGAUUUGGUAACUGUGUGUCACUAGCUGUAAUGAAUAAAUUGGAAGUCCAGAAUGCUGGCUGGCAGAUUCAACUAAAAAGCUAGGGCUAGAGUGAUGAAGUAAAGGACACACUGCCUAGUGUCAUCUUGUUUUUCAGUGCUUAAAGUUUUCAAUAGGUGUACCCAAUUAUUUCCUUCAGGUACAGCAUUAUGCAGUCAAAUACAUAUCUUAUGGGACUACUAAUUUAAUAAAAAAGUAAUUAUUAGCAGCAUGCAAAAAGAAGUUAUUCAAUGGAUGGGUGUCUGUUCUACGUGGUCACUGGAUGAAAACAAUCUUUAUCUGUUGAAAACCAAAAUAUGUCAGUCUGCCAUAUCUCUUUAAAUUCAAUUUAAUGGUUUCUGCCUUUAUUUAGUUUGCAGCCAUAUUACCUCAUCCCAAGCUGGCAGGGCUGGGCCACCUGGGAUCUGGUGGGUGCUUUGGGAAGUGUUGGUGAUUCAGCACAGCAAUUGGCAUGCUGCCCUCUGAGUCUCCGUGGAAAAAUCCUUCACCACUGCACCUGGGCACCAUCUGUUGAAGGAGGUGGCAUCCGUCAGAUGAGCUUGCCAACUUUGCGUUAAGACCUACUCCUAUUGAAAUCACUGGGAGUUUUGCCAUGCAUUGUGAAAGGUCUAAGAUGUGGCAGCAUGUACUAAAAUCUUUGUGAUUUGUUGGACUACUUGGACAAGAGUGAGAG